GCAUCCGACGUGCUGGCGGCCGACCUAACCUCGCGCCCGCCGACCUGGGAAACGCGCCGGUUCGUCGACGCUGGGAGCUGACGGCAGUAUGAACGGUUCCCUCAAUCUGGGCUUUCUUUCAGACCAAUGGUUGCAGCUAUUGAUAUUCGAAGACGGAGACGGAGCUACCUCUCAUAUAUUUAGUUUUCAGAUAUUUUUAGUUUUUAAGUUGUAAAUAAAAAUUGAAUAAAUAAUGUUGGGAUGCA
rnacentral:sRNA from 1 species